GAUGAACGCUGGCGGCGUGCCUAAUACAUGCAAGUCGAGCGAACAGACGAGGAGCUUGCUCCUCUGACGUUAGCGGCGGACGGGUGAGUAACACGUGGAUAACCUACCUAUAAGACUGGGAUAACUUCGGGAAACCGGAGCUAAUCCCGGAUAAUAUAUUGAACCGCAUGGUUCAAUAGUGAAAGACGGUUUUGCUGUCACUUAUAGAUGGAUCCGCGCCGCAUUUGCUAGUUGGUAAGGUAACGGCUUACCAAGGCAACGAUUCGUAGCCGACAUGAGAGGGGGAUCGGCGAAACUGGAAGGGAGACACGGACAAGAGUCCUACGGGAGGAAGAAGUAGGGAAUGUUCCGCAAGGGGCGAAAGCAUAACGGAGAAACGCCGCGGGAGUGAUGAAGGUCUUGGGAUCGUAAAACAAUGUUAUUAGGGAAGAAAAAAUGUGUAAGUAACUAAGCACGUCUUGACGGUACCUAAUCAGAAAGCCACGGCUAACUACGUG
rnacentral:rRNA from 1 species